ensembl:rRNA 5S_rRNA 5S ribosomal RNA
GUCUACAGCCAUACCGCCCUGAAUGUGCACUCCUCUAAUCUCAAAAGCUAAACAGGAUCGGGCCUGUUAGUACUUGGAUGGAAAUUCAGCAUGUGAUGGGACAGUAGUAG